UAAUAACCCUAAUUCCUCAGUCUUCUCCUUCACGCCGUUUCUGGAUGCUCAUACAUUCUUUUACAAAAACCCUGUUUCUCUUCUGCUUCAACCUCUUCAAUAACCUAAACCUUCAUUCACAAUCACGCUUCCUGGGUAUCGCUAUGAAGGUCAAUCUAUAUUUCUUUUUCAAACCUUAAUUGAAGCUUUCAGCCGAUCUCGCCCAUCGUCGUGAUUCAAAGGAAGAAGGGGUUACAAUUAAGUUUAGGCCUUUAAGGGGUGAAGAUGGCCCUUCUAAUGGGCAUGUAAGGCAAUGUUGGCAAUAGUUGGAGAACAACAAAUGACAUCAAUGACAUGUGGGCAAGAUUUAAACUUUUUGUGACAGAUGUUAUGUGGAUAACUAAAGUUAUUUGUUAACUUAUCAGUACACUAACUUUUUUUUUUCUUGAAUUGCUGCUGACCUUAAUGACAAAUACGUAGCGUAUGAAGGACCUGGUGAUGGAAUGGUAGGAAAAAACUUUCUAAAAUGUUCAUCUUUUGUCGACUGAUAAAUGAGAUUCUUCUGGACAAUAACAAGCCAAAGAUACAAACAAUUCUCAGCAAGAUUGAUGCCAUCAAUAAUGCCUUGGGUCUUUGACAGGUAUGGACUUUUCAAGCAAAGGAUCUCUAAAGUAGGACAAGAAGAUAUGGUAGAAGAUUGGCUUGAGGUUGGAAAUUCACCUCGGCACUUAGUUUAGCAUCUAAGUGAGUAAGUGUAGACUUAACUUUUAAAAUAAUAUAAAAAGAAUCCAAAAGCAUCAGUUAGAGAGGAUUCAAUUCCUAAAUGAAAAUAAUAUAAAAAUAAUAUAUAUAUAUUAUAUGUAUAAAUGAAAAUAUUUGGACUGACGUGGCGCAAUAUUAGAGCUUCUCAAUGUGAGUUUUGGCUCCAAAAAUUCGGGUCCGCUAUUUUGUUAAGUGGAUCCCCAAAUACCCAUUUUUGACCCGCUUUAAAAACAUUCUAAACACGACUUCUUUCCCACCACACAAACCCUAAUUUCAUUUUCAAUUAGCUUCCUCACCGCCGUUCUUCUCUACAUCUCCAUUACGUUAGUGAAUCAGUGGUAAUGGUACAAACAAUUAUUUGGAUAAAUCAAAAUCAGGUAUGUUCGUUCCACCGCCCUAAAAUUCUAUUCCCUCCUAAUGUUUCUUCUUCCUUUUAUCAAUAUAUUUAAGGUUUUUGUUCCUUCUGGAGUUUUCUUUUUAUUAGGGUUUCCUUCUGAACCCAUGUGCUUGAGGUUUAUUCCUAUAGAUAAAUUGGAAACGCAUCAAAAUUUCUGAUUGAUUUGAAGCCAGGGGUAGAAUUAAAAGAUACUAAUCAAAUCUGAAGCAAGUUUAGAAGAAGAAGCAAUUCACAAAAGAAAGGAGAGUGCUAUUGCCGAGUCAUUGAAAACGAAAGUUACACCGGAGACUGAGAUUGCCGGCAAGAAGAAAAACGCAAAAGGAUGCGUUGUCGAUUGUGAAAUAUUUUGACCAACAGUCCAAGUUGGGAUAAAAAAUUAAAAAUGGAUUGAACAUGAUAUUUUGUUUGUAAUUUAUUUCCAACUAAAUACAUCGGCUUUACCAUCAUAUUUUGUGCUUUUUUCUCUUUGCAGUUUUCAUUUUUCUGAUUUCUUUAUGCUAAAUUCAUGUAAACUAUAUCCCCUUAAGAUGUUCGUGUGGUUUAUAAAUGUCAAAGUUAUUUGUGAACAGGUUAUCUUUUCGAUGAUGGAAGGCAUGCACUUCGAAGAUUAGGAACACUUUGUGAGCAGAUUCAAGAACUAAAAGGAGUUGCUAUUAUCUUGAUGACAUAUGGUGAUGUCAGAGCUAGAGCUGGUCGACAAUGACUUACCUAAAGAAAUUAAAAUGACAGCGUCAUAGUAGCAUUAAGUGUCUUAUAACUUCUAAUACACAAUGAGAUUAUGUGUAUCCAUAUCAACCGGUAAUUGGUGGCAAAAUAGGCUGGUUGGGUUGAUCAAAACACAUAACUUUAUAUCAUGACAUUGCGUUGUCCAACCAACCUGCCAACAAAAAUUUCUUUUAAUCUCUCAAGUAUUAUAAAUAUUAAAUAUGUUGUGCAAUUAUAACUUAUUUUAUAUAAAAUUUACACAUUUGACCCGUUUGAGACGAAAAACCUAUUCACUCAUAUAACGCGUCGAAACUGCCACUUCUACACACUAGACACAGGGCACACUUUAUAAGAAAUUUUGUCAGGUUGCUGGAAGAUUUGGAAAGUUGUAGCAAAAUGAUUGGAAUAUUUAUCUUUUGAAUUUGGGAGGCAAAAUAAUAUGGGAUGGUCUCCAUUUGCCUUAACAUAUUUUUUUUUAUGGAAAAAAUGUAGAAUAUUUAUAAUACUUUCUUUGUAUUUAUUUUAUUUAUAUCACUUUGUUUGUAUUUAUUUUA